UUGCGACCUCGAUGUUGAAUUAAUUACCUAAUUUAGAGCAAAAGCUAAUUAAGGAAGUCUGUUCGACUUUUAAAAAAUUACAUGAUUUGAGUUCAGACCGGUAUAAGCCAGGUCGGUUUCUAUCUUCUAUUUAAUUCUUGCAGUACGAAAGGGCCCAAGAAACUAA
rnacentral:rRNA from 1 species